AGGGCAAAGUCGCUGGUAGAUGGCCUGGUAGGCGUUGGUAAGGGUUCUCAUAAUCCCUGGGUCGCGGGUUCGAGUCCCGCCCGCCCUA
rnacentral:tRNA from 1 species